AGCAGCAGCCGCGGUAAUACGAAGGGGGCUAGCGUUGUUCGGAAUUACUGGGCGUAAAGGGCGCGUAGGCGGCCAUUCAAGUUAGAUGUGAAAGCCCUGGGCUCAACCUAGGAAUUGCAUUUGAUACUGUUUGGCUUGAGUUCGGGAGAGGUGAGUGGAAUUCCCAGUGUAGAGGUGAAAUUCGUAGAUAUUGGGAAGAACACCAGUGGCGAAGGCGGCUCACUGGACCGACACUGACGCUGAGGCGCGAAAGCGUGGGGAGCAAACAGGAUUAGAUACCCGCGUAGUCCCUGUCUCUUAUAC
rnacentral:rRNA from 1 species